rnacentral:rRNA from 1 species
AGAGUUUGAUCCUGGCUCAGGAUGAACGCUAGCUAACACAGUCGAACGAAGAUCUAGCUUGCUAGAUCUUAGUGGCGAACGGGUGAGUAAUACAUAAAUAAUCUGCCCAUGUGACUGGGAUAACUAUUGGAAACGAUAGCUAAUACCGGAUAGGUUAAUUGGAGGCAUCUCUGAUUAAUUAAAGUAGGAUUUCUACACAGAUGGAUGAGUUUAUGGCGCAUUAGUUAGUUGGUGGGGUAACGGCCUACCAAGACGAUGAUGCGUAGCCGACCUGAGAGGGUGACCGGCCACACUGGGACUGAGACACGGCCCAGACUCCUACGGGAGGCAGCAGUAGGGAAUUUUCGGCAAUGGGCGCAAGCCUGACCGAGCAACGCCGCGUGAGUGAUUAAGGCCUUCGGGUUGUAAAGCUCUGUUGUAAGGGAAGAACAUUCAGGAUAGGAAAUGAUCUUGAACUGACGGUACCUUACCAGAAAGCCACGGCUAACUACGUGCCAGCAGCCGCGGUAAUACGUAGGUGGCAAGCGUUAUCCGGAAUUAUUGGGCGUAAAGGGUGCGUAGGCGGUUUAUUAAGUCUAUGGUGAAAGUGCGGGGCUCAACCCCGUAUGGCCAUAGAAACUGGUAGACUUGAGUGCAGGAGAGGGCAAUGGAAUUCCAUGUGUAGCGGUAAAAUGCGUAGAUAUAUGGAGGAACACCAGUGGCGAAGGCGGUUGCCUGGCCUGUAACUGACGCUGAAGCACGAAAGCGUGGGGAGCAAAUAGGAUUAGAUACCCUAGUAGUCCACGCCGUAAACGAUGAAUACUAAGUGUUGGAGAAAUUCAGUGCUGCAGUUAACGCAAUAAGUAUUCCGCCUGGGGAGUAUGCACGCAAGUGUGAAACUCAAAGGAAUUGACGGGACCCCGCACAAGCGGUGGAUUAUGUUGUUUAAUUCGACGCAACGCGAGA